GUCAAAUCAUCACGCCCCUUAUGUCCUGGGCUACACACGUGCUACAAUGGCCGGAACAGAGGGCAGCGAAGGAGUAAUCCGGAGCCAAUCCCAAAAACCCGGUCCCAGUUCGGAUUGUGGGCUGCAACCCGCCCACAUGAAGUCGGAGUUGCUAGUAAUCGCGGAUCAACCAUGCCGCGGUGAAUGCGUUCCCGGGCCUU
rnacentral:rRNA from 1 species